rnacentral:rRNA from 1 species
UACGUAGGGUGCAAGCGUUAAUCGGAAUUACUGGGCGUAAAGCGUGCGCAGGCGGUUUUGUAAGUCUGACGUGAAAUCCCCGGGCUUAACCUGGGAAUUGCGUUGGAGACUGCAAGGCUGGAGUCUGGCAGAGGGGGGGUAGAAUUCCACGUGUAGCAGUGAAAUGCGUAGAGAUGUGGAGGAACACCGAUGGCGAAGGCAGCCCCCUGGGUCAAGACUGACGCUCAUGCACGAAAGCGUGGGGAGCAAACAGG